rnacentral:rRNA from 1 species
UACAGAGGCCCCAAGCGUUACUGAGAAUCACUGGGUUUAAAGGGUGCGUAGGUGGUCCGUUAAGUUCGUUGUGAAAGCCCUGGGCUCAACCCAGGAACUGCUUCGAAUACUGGCGGACUUGAGGCUAGUAGGGGUCACUGGAACUGACGGUGGAGCGGUGAAAUGCGUAGAUAUCAAGUGGAACACCAGUGGCGAAGGCGAGUCCCUGGACAACUCCUGACACUGAGGCACGAAAGCUAGGGGAGCAAACAGG